rnacentral:rRNA from 1 species
GGCUCAGAACGAACGCUGGCGGCAUGCCUAACACAUGCAAGUCGAACGAGACCUUCGGGUCUAGUGGCGCACGGGUGCGUAACGCGUGGGAAUCUGCCCUUGGGUUCGGAAUAACAGCGAGAAAUUGCUGCUAAUACCGGAUGAUGACGUAAGUCCAAAGAUUUAUCGCCCAAGGAUGAGCCCGCGUAGGAUUAGCUAGUUGGUGAGGUAAAGGCUCACCAAGGCGACGAUCCUUAGCUGGUCUGAGAGGAUGAUCAGCCACACUGGGACUGAGACACGGCCCAGACUCCUACGGGAGGCAGCAGUGGGGAAUAUUGGACAAUGGGCGAAAGCCUGAUCCAGCAAUGCCGCGUGAGUGAUGAAGGCCUUAGGGUUGUAAAGCUCUUUUACCCGGGAUGAUA